GACGAACGCUGGCGGCGUGCUUAACACAUGCAAGUCGAACGGAAAGGCCAUGCUCUUGUGGGGUGCUCGAGUGGCGAACGGGUGAGUAACACGUGAGUAAACUGCCCUUGACAUUGGGAUAAAUUCAGGAAACUGGGGCUAAUAACGGAUAGGAGCUCCUGCUGCAUGGUGGGGGUUGGAAAGAUCCGGCGGUGGGGGAUGGACUAGCGGCUUAUCAGCUUGUUGGUGGGGUAGUGGCUUACAAAGGCUUUGACGGGUAGCCGGCCUGAGAGGGUGACCGGCCUCAUUAGGACUGCGAGACGGCCCAGACUCCUACGGUAGGCAGCAGUGGAGAAUAUUGCACAGUGGGCGGAAGCCUGAUACAGCGGCGCCGCGUGCGGGAUAACGGCCUUCGGGUUGUAAACCGCUUUCGCCUGUGACGUAGCGUUAUUGACGGUAAUGAGUAAAGAAGCACCGGCUAACUACGUG
rnacentral:rRNA from 1 species